UGUGACUGCGUACCUUUUGUAUAAUGGGUCAGCGACUUAUAUUCUGUAGCAAGGUUAACCGUAUAGGGGAGCCGGAGGGAAACCGAGUCUUAACCGGGCGUUAAGUUGCAGGGUAUAGACCCGAAACCCGGUGAUCUAGCCAUGGGCAGGUUGAAGGUUGGGUAACACUAACUGGAGGACCGAACCGACUAAUGUUGAAAAAUUAGCGGAUGACCUGUGGCUGGGGGUGAAAGGCCAAUCAAACCGGGAGAUAGCUGGUUCUCCCCGAAAGCUAUUUAGGUAGCGCCUCGUGAAUUCAUCUCCGGGGGUAGAGCACUGUUUCGGCUAGGGGGCCAUCCCGGCUUACCAACCCGAUGCAAACUGCGAAUACCGGAGAAUGUUAUCACGGGAGACACACGGCGGGUGCUAACGUCCGUCGUGAAGAGGGAAACAACCCAGACCGCCAGCUAAGGUCCCAAAGUCAUGGUUAAGUGGGAAACGAUGUGGGAAGGCCCAGACAGCCAGGAUGUUGGCUUAGAAGCAGCCAUCAUUUAAAGAAAGCGUAAUAGCUCACUGGUCGAGUCGGCCUGCGCGGAAGAUGUAACGGGGCUAAACCAUGCACCGAAGCUGCGGCAGCGAACGUAUCACCCAAGACAACUUUACGGAGUUGACGAUUGACGGAGCGAAGCGACGUCAAAGCGUUCAUUAAAGUCGAGUUGGCUUAGGGAUACGUUCGUUGGGUAGGGGAGCGUUCUGUAAGCCUGUGAAGGUGUGUCGUGAGGCAUGCUGGAGGUAUCAGAAGUGCGAAUGCUGACAUAAGUAACGAUAAAGCGGGUGAAAAGCCCGCUCGCCGGAAGACCAAGGGUUCCUGUCCAACGUUAAUCGGGGCAGGGUGAGUCGACCCCUAAGGCGAGGCCGAAAGGCGUAGU
rnacentral:rRNA from 1 species